CUGGUGCCAGCAGCCGCGGUAAUUCCAGCUCCAAAAGCGUAUAUUAAAGUUGUUGCAGUUAAAAAGCUCGUAGUUGAACCUUGGGCUUGGUUAGCCGGUCCACCUUUUUGGUGUGUACUGGACCUAACCGAGCCUUUCCUUCUGGCUAACCUUCAUCCUUUUGGGUGUUGGCGAACCAGGACUUUUACUUUGAAAAAAUUAGAGUGUUCAAAGCAGGCCUUUGCUCGAAUAUAUUAGCAUGGAAUAAUAGAAUAGGACGUUAUGGUUCUAUUUUGUUGGUUUCUAGGACCAUCGUAAUGAUUAAUAGGGACGGUCGGGGGUAUCAGUAUUCAGUUGUCAGAGGUGAAAUUCUUGGAUUUACUGAAGACUAACUACUGCGAAAGCAUUUACCAAGGACGUUUUCAUUAAUCAAGAACGAAAGUUAGGGGAUCGAAGAUGAUCAGAUACCGUCGUAGUCUUAACCAUAAACUAUGCCGACUAGGGAUCGGGUGUUGUUCUUUUUUUGACGCACUCGGCACCUUACGAGAAAUCAAAGUCUUUGGGUUCUGGGGGGAG
rnacentral:rRNA from 1 species